AACGAACGCUGGCGGCAGGCUUAACACAUGCAAGUCGAACGCGUGUAGCAAUACACGAGUGGCGCACGGGUGAGUAACGCGUGGAUAUCUGCCUUUUGGUUCGGAAUAACCCCGGGAAACUGGGGCUAAUACCGGAUGGUUCCUUCGGGAUAAAGAUUUAUCGCCAAAAGAUGAGUCCGCGUCCGAUUAGCUAGUUGGUGAGGUAAUGGCUCACCAAGGCGACGAUCGGUAGCUGGUCUGAGAGGACGAUCAGCCACACUGGGACUGAGACACGGCCCAGACUCCUACGGGAGGCAGCAAUGGGGAAUAUUGGACAAUGGGGGCAACCCUGAUCCAGCCAUGCCGCGUGAGUGAUGAAGGCCGUCGGGUUGUAAAGCUCUUUUGGCGGGGACGAUGAUGACGGUACCCGCAGAAUAAGCCCCGGCUAACUUCGUGCCAGCCGCCGCCGUAACAC
rnacentral:rRNA from 1 species